rnacentral:tRNA from 1 species
GAAGGUAUAGCCCAAGUGUAGAGCACAUGCAUUAGCAUGCAGGAGGUCCUGGGUUCAAUCCCCAGUGCCUCCA